rnacentral:tRNA from 10 species
GCCCUAGUAGCUCAGCGCCAGAGCGC